GUUAAAACACCGGUUCCCGCAGGAUCACCGGUUAAGCAACAUCGAGCCUGGUUAGUACCUAGAUGGGUGACUGCUUGGGAAUACCAGAUGCUAU